CCUACGGGCGGCAGCAGUGGGGAAUAUUGGACAAUGGGCGAAAGCCUGAUCCAGCCAUGCCGCGUGUGUGAAGAAGGCCUUCGGGUUGUAAAGCACUUUCAGUGGGGAAGAAAGCCUUGGGGCUAAUACCCUCGAGGAAGGACAUCACCCACAGAAGAAGCACCGGCUAACUCCGUGCCAGCAGCCGCGGUAAUACGGAGGGUGCGAGCGUUAAUCGGAAUUACUGGGCGUAAAGCGCGCGUAGGCGGUCUGAUAAGCCGGUUGUGAAAGCCCCGGGCUCAACCUGGGAACGGCAUCCGGAACUGUCAGGCUAGAGUGCAGGAGAGGAAGGUAGAAUUCCCGGUGUAGCGGUGAAAUGCGUAGAGAUAGGGAGGAAUACCAGUGGCGAAGGCGACCUUCUGGACUGACACUGACGCUGAGGUGCGAAAGCGUGGGUAGCAAACAGGAUUAGAUACCCGAGUAGUC
rnacentral:rRNA from 1 species